CGCGUCGACCCGCUCAAUCGUCGUACGACGAACCGGGGACCCACAGCACCACUGGGGUGAAUCCGCGCAGCCACGGCUCGCGGUAGGGCGAAUUCUUCCCGCCCGAAUCCGUCAGCUAACCCGGUAGGCGGCACCGGAAGGAGUU
rnacentral:sRNA from 2 species